rnacentral:rRNA from 1 species
CCUACGGGUGGCUGCAGUCGAGGAUCUUCGGCAAUGGGCGCAAGCCUGACCGAGCGACGCCGCGUGCGCGAUGAAGGCCUUCGGGUUGUAAAGCGCUGUCGAGGGGGAGGAAAGCCCGCAAGGGCCUGACCGACCCCUGGAGGAAGCACGGGCUAAGUUCGUGCCAGCAGCCGCGGUAAGAUGAACCGUGCGAACGUUGUUCGGAUUCACUGGGCUUAAAGGGCGCGUAGGCGGGCGAUCCAGUCGGGGGUGAAAGCCCCCGGCCCAACCGGGGAAGGGCCCCCGAUACUGAUCGCCUCGAGGGGGGUAGGGGCAGGCGGAACUUCCGGUGGAGCGGUGAAAUGCGUAGAUAUCGGAAGGAACGCCGGUGGCGAAAGCGGCCUGCUGGACCCCCGCUGACGCUGAGGCGCGAAAGCCAGGGGAGCAAACGGGAUUAGAUA